UACAGAGGGUGCAAGCGUUGUUCGGAAUUACUGGGCGUAAAGCGCGUGUAGGUGGCGAUGUAAGUCGGGUGUGAAAUCCCUCAGCUUAACUGAGGAAGUGCACUCGAUACUGUGUCGCUUGAGUGUUGGAGGGGAUGGCGGAAUUCCCGGUGUAGAGGUGAAAUUCGUAGAUAUCAGGAGGAACACCGGUGGCGAAGGCGGGUCUCUGGGCCGUAACUGACGCUGAGGAGCGAAAGCGUGGGGAGCGAACAGG
rnacentral:rRNA from 1 species